UACGAAGGGGGCUAGCGUUAAUCGGAAUUACUGGGCGUAAAGCGUGCGUAGACGGUUAUCUAAGUCGGAUGUGAAAGCCCCGGGCUCAACCUGGGAAUGGCGAUGGAUACUGGGCAGCUAGAGUGUGUCAGAGGAUGGUGGAAUUCCCGGUGUAGCGGUGAAAUGCGUAGAGAUCGGGAGGAACAUCAGUGGCGAAGGCGGCCAUCUGGGACAACACUGACGCUGAAGCACGAAAGCGUGGGGAGCAAACAGG
rnacentral:rRNA from 1 species